UACGUAGGGAGCGAGCGUUGUCCGGAAUUACUGGGCGUAAAGGGCGCGUAGGCGGGAAAUUAAGUCAGGUGUGAAAACUCCGAGCUCAACUUGGAGAUUGCACUUGAAACUGGUAUUCUUGAGGGCAGGAGAGGAAAGUGGAAUUCCUAGUGUAGCGGUGAAAUGCGUAGAUAUUAGGAGGAACACCAGUGGCGAAGGCGACUUUCUGGACUGCACCUGACGCUGAGGCGCGAAAGCGUGGGUAGCGAACGGGAUUAGAUACCCCGGUAGUCCCUGA
rnacentral:rRNA from 1 species